CCUCUGCACUAUGCACUUGAACAUAUAAAAGUAAUGAUCACCUCUUUCAUUGAAUUUUGAGUGUUUUAAUCAGCAUUGUUACACCUGUGGUGUUCCCGGACAAAAGUAACUGCCAUAGGAAAUAAACUGGAAUCCACUCACUGAAUGGCCCACUUAUCCCUCCUCUCGCGUUCACCCCCCACCCCUUACUUUAGUGUUCCCAGUCAAAAUUGACUGGUCUGUUUUAACAGCUCUUAAAUUACCAUAACAAACAGUUUUCACCACUAAAUUCAGUUGUGUGGGUGCGUCAAUGGGUCAUUCAGAGAAACUUUCAUUUGGUAUUCCAGUGGGUCGUUCAGGGGGCCUUUCAUUUGGUCAUUCAGUCAAUGGGUGGGGGGUUGAACAUGACAGGAGGGUUAAAAAUACGGGAUCAUCUUUUUUUUCCCUCUUUUUUUUCUAAGAACUGUAUAGAAAUUGCUUAGUCACAUGUCAUUUCAUGGUCUAUUUUUUCUGCCAACAGAGGGUUCACUCCAACAAAUUGAGAAUGUAUACGGAAUUAAUGGACAGCCACAGAAAACGAAAGUCAUCCUCUUCUACCGAGCUACCUAUGAAGAACGCAAAACUUACAGACUCUUUCACUGGCUCUAGGCGAAUAACACAAGCAGCAUUUGACAAGCUUCUGCUUACGUUUGUAUGUGAGGCCAACCAACCAUUUUCUAUAGUUGAGACAUCAUCCUUCAAGACUAUGAUGGAAACCUUGCAACCUCAGUGUACAGUAAUGACAAGGAAAACGUGUUCAAAAAUACAAGACGCUGUGAAGAACAUGAAAAGCAUAAUCAUCAAAAAACUGAGCACUGCAUGAACUAUGUUGCUACCACAACAGACUGCUGGUCUGCCAGACAGCAUAGCUACUUAGGAGUUACUUGUCACUAGAUAGAUGAUAUCUCUUUAGAAAGGCAUUCUGCUGCACUGGCUUGUAGACCUCUUAAAGGUUCACACACAUUUGAUGUUCUUGCUGCUGCAUUAGAGGAAAUCCAUUCAGAGUAUCACAUCAGAGAAAAGGUCACCCGGACGACAACAGACAGUGGUUCAAACUUCUUGAAGGCCUUUCGAUUAUAUGGUGAGGACAAAGAGGAAGGAACAACCAAUUGGCAGGAGGAUAGUGGGUCUAUCCUUGAUGAUGCAGAAGACAGUGAGUUAGAGGUGGAGUAUCAAGAUGUGUUUGCCGUUUUGGAUGAUAACACAGGUCUGGAGUACCAGCUUCCAAGGCACCAAAAGUGUGCAUGUCAUCUACUCAAUCUUAUAUCAACAGUUGAUGCCACUGCUGCAGAAGCUACCAAUGAUACAUACAAGAGACUGUCUCGGUCUGCUUUUGCAAAAUGUCAUGCUCUGUGGAAUAAAACCAGCAGGUCAAUCAUGGCUUAUGAAAGAGUGGAACGUGAGUGCAAGUUGCAGUUUCUUCGACCCAAUCAAACUCGUUGGAGCUCCCUGUUCCUUGCUGUGGAAAGAUUUGUGCGCAUUCAUAAAGAGCAAGGAGAGAAAACAAUCCGCAAUGUUUGCACGGCAUUAAAGAUAAAGAUGUUCAAUCUGCUGAAAUGGGAUUUUUGGUUGAGUACACUGCUGUGAUGAAGCCUGUUGUCAUGGCCCUUAAGGGGAAUCAUCUGUGCACAUGGGCUUCUUGCUACCAACACUUUACCAGUUGCUGGAGAAGCUGAGGAAGCUGGAGUCAUCUUGCAAAAUGUGUAGACCUCUUGUUGAUGCGCUGCAGGAUGGAAUCCAGAAACGUUUUGGAGAAAUGAUGAAAGACCCUCAGCUCUUAAAUUGUCUGACCUUCAUCAGACAUCAACUAGACACAGAGUUGGGUGAGGCCAGCACAAACAGCAGCCUAUCUGAUGAAGAUGACUUCUUUGGGUCCAUGGGGUCAGGAAAUCCAGAAGCAGUGGAGCUGGAGAGGUACCUUUCAUGUCCAUUCACUGGAGGUAUGGAUGUAUUGCAUGGCUUUCCUCAGAUCAAGAAGCUGUCAGUCAAAGUCAAUACAGCUCUUUGUAGUUGAGUGUAGUUUUUAUUUGAAAUAUUUUCAUUCUGGUGUUUGUAUUGCAUGUUUUUAGUGUUUUCAUAUUACAUUGUGUUAAUCCACUGUCUAUACUUCAGGGUAUUUUAGUAUACAAAGAACAUUUUAUAGUUUUGUUAGAAUGUCUAUUCCUGUGGAAUUUUAGCACAGAUGUGUUGUGUGUGUUUUUUUUGUUUUUUGUUUUUUUAAUUCCUGCUGUCCACUUUGGGAAUAAACUUUUCCUGAUUAUACCUGUUGCAUCUCUGUGUCAUUUGUUUCUGAUUUACUUAAUCCCUCCUUGUAUUUAAAAGAACCACCCCUAGUAUGACAUUCUGGCGCAUCAGCUGUAGUCUGUUAUGUUGAAGUUGCGUCGUUCUAAUGUUUUCUCUGAGGCUGCUGUAAAUGCGAAUAUAUUUACUGUGGGUUUUGCUUGAAAAAGCUUUACGUUGUGAAAAACUGAAAUCUUGAAAUUAGAAUUGUUGUGCCUUAUUUUGUGGAUCUUUUUACAUAUAUUCCUUUUGAAAAUACUAAAAUUUGUAUAUUUAUUUAUUUUUCUUUGUCUGAUAGCAUUUAUUUAUAAAAUAAAUCGGACAUUUCAAACAGUUACUCGCUACUUACUCUGUACUUGAAUAGCCUUUUUACCAAGUACUUUUUUACUCUUACUCGAGUAACUUUUUUGACGACUACUUUUCACUUUUACUUGAGUAAUAAUAUUUUAAAGUAAUGAUACUCUUACUUGAGUACAAGUUCUGGAUGCUCGACCCACCUCUGGGAACUGGUUUAGCUUUCGAUUGUCAGAUACACA